UACGUAGGGGGCAAGCGUUGUCCGGAAUCAUUGGGCGUAAAGCGCGUGUAGGCGGCCCGGUAAGUCCGCUGUGAAAGUCGGGGGCUCAACCCUCGAAUGCCGGUGGAUACUGUCGGGCUAGAGUGCGGAAGAGGCGAGUGGAAUUCCUGGUGUAGCGGUGAAAUGCGCAGAUAUCAGGAGGAACACCAAUUGCGAAGGCAGCUCGCUGGGACGUGACUGACGCUGAGACGCGAAAGCCAGGGGAGCGAACGGG
rnacentral:rRNA from 1 species